rnacentral:rRNA from 1 species
UACGGAGGGGGCUAGCGUUGUUCGGAAUUACUGGGCGUAAAGCGCACGUAGGCGGCUUUGCAAGUUAGAGGUGAAAGCCCGGGGCUCAACUCCGGAAUUGCCUUUAAGACUGCAUCGCUAGAACACGGGAGAGGUGAGUGGAAUUCCGAGUGUAGAGGUGAAAUUCGUAGAUAUUCGGAAGAACACCAGUGGCGAAGGCGGCUCACUGGACCGUUGUUGACGCUGAGGUGCGAAAGCGUGGGGAGCAAACAGGA